rnacentral:tRNA from 1 species
GCCUGGGUGGCUCAGUCGGUUAAAGCGUCCGACUUCAGCUCAGGUCAUGAUGUUGCGGUUUGUGGGUGUGAGCCCCAUGUCAGGCA